rnacentral:rRNA from 1 species
AAUGGAGGAAACUCUGAUGCAGCAACGCCGCGUGGAGGAUGACGCAUUUCGGUGUGUAAACUCCUUUUAUAUGGGAAGAUAAUGACGGUACCAUAUGAAUAAGCACCGGCUAACUCCGUGCCAGCAGCCGCGGUAAUACGGAGGGUGCAAGCGUUACUCGGAAUCACUGGGCGUAAAGCGCGCGCAGGCGGCCUUUUAAGUUGGAUGUGAAAGCCUAUGGCUCAACUGUAGAACUGCAUCCAAAACUAUUUGGCUAGAGUGUGGGAGAGGAAGAUGGAAUUAGUUGU